UUCAGAAUCAUCUGGGACAGGUCAAAAUAGUCGAGCGUUAGCGAUUCCUUCGUCCCGUCUCCCUCCGCUGCGAUCCUAUGGAACCCCGGCGACCUCCCCGCACCGUCAGCGAUCCCAAGGUCCGCCAGGUCGGUUUUGUCACCCCCGCCGCCGCACCACCCGCGCGCACGGUCUCCGACACCGCUGCCAUGCCGGCCGCCGGCGCCUCCCAGGAACUCCCCCUUUCAGGUAGCUCCCUCUCUCCCGUCAUGAUCCCCCCGCCCCGCCAUGACGGCCUCUCCGCCCGCGUCACCGCCCUUCUCCCCGUCCCCAUCGCCGCCACUGCGCUCCGACUCGAUAACCUUCAGAUUCGGGUCGGCAGUUAUAAUCAGUCGGAAGUCCUCCUGGGGACGCCCCCGAUGACGUCGCCUUCCAGCAGGAUCGAGGACGCCGUCUCCGAGUUCUCCGACGAUGUUUCUGCUUCUUCGUUGUACGGUCGGACAGAGCCGGAUAAGGUUGGUACGGCCUUCCCCGGGCGUAGCGGUGAUCUGAUGCCGGCGAAGUCUGUCGUUGCUGGUGGUAGCAUCGGCAGCCAUACACCGGAAAACCCUCCGACGGCUUCAUUGGUGGUGAAAGCACUGCCUGGAAUUACAGAGAAAAAGAGAGGAAUGUUGGAAAAGCAGCAUGAUGAGGCAGCUGCACCCAAGCCGCUGAAAGAGAAAACAACAAAAGCUGAGCGGCGUGCUCUCCAGGAAGCCCAACGUGCUGCAAAAUCUGCUGCAAAGGAGGGUGGAGGUGCAGAUCCCACUAACACAAAGAAAGAUAAAGUAGUUAAACCUACUCCACAAAAGAAGGAUGUUCCUGAAGUUGCAGCAUCAUCUGGAAAGAAGGUUGAUCGCCCCCUUGAAAAGGAGCGUAAGAAAGAAGUACUGCCUCUGCGUAUGCAGUUUGAUGAUAAGCAUAAGGUUGAAAAAGUGAAACAGCGAGCAAUAGUUAAUCAACGUGAAGCUAAAAGUAGAGUUGAAUUUUUCCAACGUCUACCUCAGUACGUGCAUGGGACUCAGCUUCAAGAACUUGAAGCAAAGUUUUUUCAACUUGAUGCUGUUCAUCCUUCUGUUUACAAGGUUGGACUUCAUCAUUUGUCUGGUAAGAUUACUGGUGGCAAUGCUCGCUGUAUUGCGAUGCUUCUAGCAUUUAAAGAGGCAAUUAAAGAUUACUCUACACCACCUGAAAAAGCUCUUGUCCGAGAUCUGAAUGCAAAAAUUAGUGGUUUUGUCUCAUUUCUGAUUGAAUGUAGACCUCUUUCAAUUAGCAUGGGAAAUGCUAUCAAGUUUCUGAAGAAUAGGAUUGCUAAAUUACCACUUUCUAUGUCAGAAUUGGAUGCCAAAGCUAGUAUUCAAUCUGAUAUUGAUCGUUUCAUAAAUCAGAAAAUAAUAAUUGCUGACAAGGUCAUAGUUAGGCACGCUUUUGCAAAAAUCAGGGAUGGGGAUGUUCUUCUAACAUAUGGAUUGUCAUCUGUUGUUGAAAUGAUUUUAGUGUAUGCCCAUGAGCACAAGAAGAAGUUCCGCAUUGUGAUAGUUGAUUCCCGUCCCAAGCAUGAAGGGCAGAUAUUGCUUCGUAGACUGGUGGCCAAGGGACUUAACUGCACGUAUACACAUAUUAAUGCAAUAUCAUACAUCAUGCAUGAAGUGACUCGGGUUUUUCUAGGAGCUGCCUCAGUGCUCUCUAAUGGAACUGUCUACUCAAGAGUGGGAACAGCAUGUGUAGCUAUGGUUGCAAAAGCAUACCGAGUUCCUGUUCUAAUAUGUUGCGAGGCUUAUAAAUUUCAUGAAAGGGUGCAACUGGAUUCUAUAUGUUUCAAUGAACUAGGUGAUCCAGAUGCCAUUUUGAAAGUUCCCACGCAUGUUGAGUCAUACCUGUAUGGCUGCAUGGAUAAUGAUAAUCUGCAGCUUCUUAAUCUUAAUUAUGACGCCACACCUUCUGAUUAUGUCUCAAUGAUUAUAACAGAUUAUGGAAUGCUCCCUCCUACCAGUGUGCCAGUCAUUAUGCGAGAAUAUGACCCACAGAACUUAUGGAUUUGAAGCAUCUGAAAAGAGACUAGUGAAUAACCACAAAAGCUGUAUGACUCAUCAUGUCAAGAGCAGAAUGUUCAUCCUCGCCAAGAAUCAUCUUUACAGUUAAUUCAAGGGCCAUUGGCAUUUCAGAAUUGCCCACCAUGUGCAGUGAAAGAUAUCCUAGCCAUUCGUAUAUUAGAUUAGUGUGUUGAUGCAAGUCAUCUUUCACAAAGAACUGGUGAAUUGUAUUUUCAGACUCAAUCCAGCUGCACCCAG